ensembl:lncRNA novel transcript
UUUUUUUUUUUUUUUUUUUUUUUUUUUUGCAUUUUAAGUAAUGAAAACAGGUCAUGUUAAUUUUCCCUUACACUAAUGAGGUAGGAAUUUCUCUGUAAAAGUUGACCUUUUGAGCAAACUUAUCUUAUGAAGAGGGCUCUGGUGUUUACGCAGCCAGCUUGCCUGAAGGGACCUUUAAACCAUCCAGAAGGGAGAGUAUUUACUAGGGUUUUAUUAAGACUCUAAUGGUUAUAAAUGAAAUAUCUUAAGAUUUUUCACUUCUGGGACUGUUAAGCCAUCUGGAAUAGCUAUUUUGGAGAAAAAUCUUCAACCAAAAUAAAACUGUAAAAAAAAAAAAAUAGGCCUUUAUACAAGCUGUAGCCAGAAAUCUGGGAUAAUUUUUACAAGCACUUUAGUAAUGUUAUAAUUGAGACCUAAGUUUUGAUAGAGCCAAAAUUUUUUAGAUCUAUUAAAUACAUUUUAACUCCAUUAUAA